rnacentral:rRNA from 1 species
GACGAACGCUGGCGGCGUGCUUAACACAUGCAAGUCGAACGGAAAGGCCCUGCUUUUGUGGGGUGCUCGAGUGGCGAACGGGUGAGUAACACGUGAGUAACCUGCCCUUGACUUUGGGAUAACUUCAGGAAACUGGGGCUAAUACCGGAUAGGAGCUCCUGCUGCAUGGUGGGGGUUGGAAAGUUUCGGCGGUUGGGGAUGGACUCGCGGCUUAUCAGCUUGUUGGUGGGGUAGUGGCUUACCAAGGCUUUGACGGGUAGCCGGCCUGAGAGGGUGACCGGCCACAUUGGGACUGAGGUACGGCCCAGACUCGUACGGGAGGCAGCAGUGGGGAAUAUUGCACAAUGAGCGGAAGCCUGAUGAAGAAACGCCGCGUGCGGGAUGACGGCCUUCGGGUUGUAAACCGCUUUCGCCUGUGACGAAGCGUGAGUGACGGUAAUGGGUAAAGAAGCACCGGCUAACUACGUG